rnacentral:rRNA from 1 species
AUACGUAGGGGGCGAGCGUUGUCCGGAAUGAUUGGGCGUAAAGGGCGCGUAGGCGGCCCGGUAAGUCUGGAGUGAAAGUCCUGUUUUUAAGAUGGGAAUUGCUUUGGAUACUGUCGGGCUUGAGUGCAGGAGAGGUAAGUGGAAUUCCCAGUGUAGCGGUGAAAUGCGUAGAGAUUGGGAGGAACACCAGUGGCGAAGGCGACUUACUGGACUGUAACUGACGCUGAGUCGCGAAAGUGUGGGGAGCAAACAGGAUUAGAUACCCUGGUAGUCCACACCGUAAACGAUGAAUGCUAGGUGUAGGGGGUAUCGACCCCUUCUGUGCCGCAGUCAACACAAUAAGCAUUCCGCCUGGGGAGUACGGCCGCAAGGUUGAAACUCAAAUGAAUUGACGGGG